ACUCCUACGGGAGGCAGCAGUGGGGAAUAUUGCACAAUGGGCGCAAGCCUGAUGCAGCCAUGCCGCGUGUGUGAAGAAGGCCUUCGGGUUGUAAAGCACUUUCAGUCGUGAGGAAGGUGUGUUGUUAAUAGCAACAUCAUUUGACUGUUAGCGACAUGAAGAAGCAACCGGCAUAACUCCGGUAGCCCAGCCAGCCGCGGGUAAUACGGAGGGUGCGAGCGUUAAUCGGAAUUACUGGGCGUAAAGCGCAUGCAGGUGGUUUGUUAAGUCAGAUGUGAAAGCCCGGGGCUCAACCUCGGAAUAUGACAUUUGAAACAUGGCAAGCUAGAGUACU
rnacentral:rRNA from 1 species